UACGUAUGGAGCAAGCGUUAUCCGGAUUUACUGGGUGUAAAGGGAGCGCAGGCGGCUUUGCGAGUCUGAUGUGAGAGGCCGGGGCUCAACCCCGGGACUGCAUUGGAAACUGUAAAGCUAGAGUGCCGGAGAGGUAAGCGGAAUUCCUAGUGUAGCGGUGAAAUGCGUAGAUAUUAGGAGGAACACCAGUGGCGAAGGCGGCUUACUGGACGGCAACUGACGCUGAGGCUCGAAAGCGUGGGGAGCAAACAGG
rnacentral:rRNA from 1 species